GAGGCUUUAGCUUAAUCAAAUGGUCUGUGUUGCAUGCAGAAAAUGCAGGUUAAAGUCCUGCAAGCCUUA
rnacentral:tRNA from 1 species